UGGUAUGAAAAGUUUUACAUGAAUUUAGCUGUUAUUCAUCCUCUAAGAGGUGAAUUCAUGACAGUUUGGAGCUGACUGAUUACAGAUGUCUGACAUCUCUUUAUCUAUUGUUUUAGGUGGCUGCGAUAAGCUCAGCUCUGACAGGAGAUACCAAAGAAACUGAAUUCAGAACUUGGCAACCUAACUGGAUAAUAAAACUGUAGUCCCAAUCCUACAAACCUUCUAAAUGUGGAACUUUCACUGAUGUCUAUGGAAGUUCUGCGUGUGGAGAGCUUACAGAAUCAGGCCAUAUGUUAACAGGAUCAGGAAUGUCAAGAUUUGAUGGAGGACCUUAGAUGUUGAUUGGAAGAUCUUACAUGCUAACAGGAC